GAUGAUACCUUCCUGGCUGAGCCACUGACCAGAUGUACAGUGACAAUGGCUCCUCUUCUGCACCUGUUCUGUACCAUCCUUAUUGUCUUCACUCGAGAUUCUGUUGGUGAGAUUACUGUGACUCAGGAACCGAGAGCCAAGUCAUUUACCCCAGGAGAGAGUGUCACUAUCACUUGCACAACCAGCAGUUAUGUGGGAAACAACCUGAAUUGGUACAUGAUUAAAGACAAACAAGCCCCAAAACUCUUGAUCUAUGAUGCGAGCAUUCGCUUUUCUCAUGUCACAAGUCGCUUCAGUGGCACUGGAUCAGACCCUGUGUACACGUUUACUAUAAGUGAUCUCAGGGAUGAUGAUGCCGGUUAUUACUACUGUAACCAGGACUUUCAAUACCCUUUCACACAGUGA